rnacentral:rRNA from 1 species
CAGCAGCCGCGGUAAUACGUAGGGUGCGAGCGUUAAUCGGAAUUACUGGGCGUAAAGCGUGCGCAGGCGGUUUGUUAAGACAGAUGUGAAAUCCCCGGGCUUAACCUGGGAACUGCAUUUGUGACUGGCCGGCUAGAGUAUGGCAGAGGGAGGUGGAAUUCCACGUGUAGCAGUGAAAUGCGUAGAUAUGUGGAGGAACACCGAUGGCGAAGGCAGCCUCCUGGGCCAAUACUGACGCUCAUGCACGAAAGCGUGGGGAGCAAACAGGAUUAGAUACCCCCGUAGUCCCUGUCUCUUAUAC